GAUGAACGCUGGCGGCGUGCCUAAUACAUGCAAGUCGAGCGAACAGACGAGGAGCUUGCUCCUCUGACGUUAGCGGCGGACGGGUGAGUAACACGUGGAUAACCUACCUAUAAUACUGGGAUAACUUCGGGAAACCGGAGCUAAUACCGGAUAAUAUAUUGAACCGCAUGGUUCAAUAGUGAAAGACGGUUUUGCUGUCACUUAUAGAUGGAUCCGCGCCGCAUUAGCUAGUUGUUAAGGUAACGGCUUACCAAGGCAACGAUGCGUAGCCGACCUGAGAGGGUGAUCGGCCACACUGGAACUGAGACACGGUCCAGACUACUACGGGAGGCAGCAGUAGGGAAUCUUCCGCAAUGGGCGAAAGCCUGACGGAGCAACGCCGCGUGAGUGAUGAAGGUCUUCGGAUCGUAAAACUCUGUUAUUAGGGAAGAACAAAUGUGUAAGUAACUAUGCACGUCUUGACGGUACCUAAUCAGAAAGCCACGGCUAACUACGUG
rnacentral:rRNA from 1 species